ACCUAGCUGGCUCAGUCAGUACAGCAUGCAACUUUUGAUCUCCAGGUUGUAGGUUCAAGACCCAUGCUGGGUA
rnacentral:tRNA from 1 species